rnacentral:rRNA from 1 species
UACGGAGGAUGCGAGCGUUAUCCGGAUUUAUUGGGUUUAAAGGGUGCGCAGGCGGUCUGUUAAGUCAGCGGUCAAAGCCCGGGGCUCAACCCCGGCCCGCCGUUGAAACUGGCAGUCUCGAGUUGGAGAGAAGUAUGCGGAAUGCGCGGUGUAGCGGUGAAAUGCAUAGAUAUCGCGCAGAACUCCGAUUGCGAAGGCAGCAUGCCGGCUCCACACUGACGUUGAGGCACGAAAGCGUGGGUAUCGAACAGG